GACGAACGCUGGCGGCGUGCUUAACGCAUGCAAGUCGAACGGAAAGGCCCUGCUUUUGUGGGGUGCUCGAGUGGCGAACGGGUGAGUAACACGUGAGUAACCUGCCCUUGACUUUGGGAUAACUUCAGGAAACUGGGGCUAAUACCGGAUAGGAGCUCCUGCUGCAUGGUGGGGGUUGGAAAGUUUCGGCGGUUGGGGAUGGACUCGCGGCUUAUCAGCUUGUUGGUGGGGUAGUGGCUUACCAAGGCUUUGACGGGUAGCCGGCCUGAGAGGGUGACCGGCCACAUUGGGACUGCGAUACGGCCCAGACUCCUACGGGAGGCAGCAGUGGGGAAUAUUGCACAAUGGGCGGAAGCCUGAUGCAGCAACGCCGCGUGCGGGAUGACGGCCUUCGGGUUGUAAACCGCUUUCGCCUGUGACGAAGCGUGAGUGACGGUAAUGGGUAAAGAAGCACCGGCUAACUACGUG
rnacentral:rRNA from 1 species